UACGUAGGGAGCAAGCGUUGUCCGGAAUCACUGGGCGUAAAGGGCGUGUAGGCGGUCAGGUAAGUGAGAUGUGAAAUGCCCCGGCUCACCCGGGGACCGGCAUCUCAUACUGCUUGGCUUGAGUACGGGAGAGGAUGUGGGAAUUCCUGGUGUAGCGGUGAAAUGCGUAGAUAUCAGGAGGAACACCGGUGGCGAAGGCGCACAUCUGGCCCGAUACUGACGCUGAGGCGCGAAAGCGUGGGGAGCAAACAGG
rnacentral:rRNA from 1 species